CCGGUGAUGCGGCUUUUGUUUUUUUGUUUUUCCUCCUAAAACGCAUACCCCCAAAUACUCUCUCAUUUCAAAAAUUUCCCCUUCCCUCAUGUUCUCCCCUCCGCCCACCUUUGCCCCUUCACCCACCUUCACUCGCGGCGUUCAACUCACAUUUUUCCAACUUGCACCACGUUCGCCACCAUCUGGGGACGUCGACGAAAACAACCGACCAAACAAAUUCACACCCAUGUUUGCUCUCUCUCGAUGUACAUGGCUAAGUUAAUUUUAUAGUUCUUUUGUGAAUUCAAUUCUUCUUCUUCUCUUCUUUCUUUUUUGGGAUGUUUGAAAUGAAAUGCUUUCAUACCGCAGUCCUGAGUUCUUAUCGUGAACAUGGCCAACUCGAUCCUCUUUCUUUGAGUUUUCCUCAAAUACAAGUAAUGUAUUUCUUUCGUAGUUCUAUUUCAAAGGAGUGGAUGUAUUUUUCUUUGCAAUCUGGAAGUUGGAGGUGACUUCAAGACUUGGAUUAGCAACAAAGAUGCUCUUAGGGUAUUUUUUUUUUAUUAUUACUAGAUUUUGUUAGUGGGUGGGGGUUGUUUUCCUUACUUUCGAUCAAGCUAUCAGAGGCUAGCUAUUGGAGAGAAUCGAAACAGUAACAAAGACGAUGGGAGAAAAAUCUAAGAAAUGUUUGACUAGAUAACUAAACUCUUAAUCAAUGGGAAAACAACAAUAAAACCCCAAUACUUAUAUUGUUAGUGUGUGUAUAUAUGAGAGAAUAGCACUUGUUUCUAUCGUUAAGUGAAAUAUACUAGAGGCUCAAUUGUUUGAAUUGGAUUGGGGCAGAUUCUCUUUGAUCCAUCAUUCUGGUAUGGCUAUCACCUAUACUGCGAUAGUUUUAGUCUUGACAUGACAGGGGUUGAAGGUUAUUGCUAUACUGUAGUCUUAUCUGGAUCUUGAAGGUGACCCAUUUGAAUCCAUUAAAGGCAAUUAAACAAAGGUUGUGACAAUUUAAACAUGGGACCCGUAUGUGAGAGAAGGUAAAACAUGUGUUUAGGAUUCAUUGGCUAGUAAUUGUGCCAUAUAGAGUCAUCAGAUGUUUUCUUCUAUUUUUUACCAUCUUCAUUUGAUUCUCCAAUUGAGCUCUCACUGCAUGUAAAUUCUUUUUAUGACAGAUUUUAUAGAAGUGAUGAGUUAAAUGUAUAUUGAAUCAUCAUCCCCAUAUAAAAAACUUGCAACGUUUAAGUGUUAGAACACCCCUCAUAUGAGAGAAACCAAGGAAAAUACCUGAAUUAAGACAUGUAUAUGUUCAAUUUUUCUUUAACUCACUAGCCCUGGCAUAUGGAGCUUUCUUAACCUACAAAGACACGCAGUCAGUAAUGUUGUUGUGCAUCACAGCCAAAAGAGCAGAAAAAAGAUUCCCUUUUUGUAAAUGGUAGCUACCAUUUGUUAGAAGAUAGUCUAAUUGCAUUUGACCAUACGUUCAAUAAAACUUAUGGGGUUGUGUCCUCUUAAAAAAAGUAUUAGUAUUGAUUUACACGCUUCGGUGGGAUUCGGUCUCUGAUAAGUGGUGUCUUGCAUUUCUAAAGAGUCAGUAAAUAGAAGCUUGAAAUUGUCUCAACCAAAUCAUUUUUCUGUUUUUUUAAUAAAUUAUGGUUUUAUGAGAAAAACUAUGGACAACUUAUCUUAGGGGCAUUAUUUGCCACCAUAUUUAAUUUAAUGUUUAACUGUCAACCUUUUUUAAGUGUACAUAUUUUAAAUGUACUGGUGGUGUGAUAAGCAGUUUUAAUAUUUCCUAUUAUCUGGGUUCCUAAGGAACUUGCAUCAGAGAUGUGAUUAAAAUAGGUAUAACAAUCCAGAAAAACCUCUCUGCGAUCGAGCCUAUCUGUUUCAUGUUUGAAAUGAUUUAUGCCUUUCUGUUUAGUGACUUUGUUCUCAAAACUCAGUUGAAAUAUCGUGAUGGACAAAGAGGAAGAUGAAAGACCACCUAAGCCUUCUACAUCGAUUUCUUUUCAGACAUGAAUUUAAGUCGUUCUAACACCAUGCCUAAUUACAACCUCCAUUGAUGCUACCUUUUGGACCAAUGAUGCUUUACCCUCCGUCGAAUAAUGUGGAGGAGUUGGGAUGAGUUCAACAUAUGAUCUAGCCUCCAUCGAUGCCCUACCCUCCAUCGAGUAUUCUGAAGGAGUUAAGAAGAUCUGAAAAGACUCCCAACUAGCAAGUGAAUCAUAACUCAUGCCAUUUAGAGCCGAAAGUGAAAAGCAUUUUGGAGAAACUUUAUCGGACGUAAAUAAAGAGGCAGAGACUAAGGGGCCUAAUGAAGUACCGGAUGAUGAAAGAGUUGAGGAGUCGAAAUCUAGUAUGGAGUUUGCCACUGAUAAAGAGUUUCUGGCCUAUUAUAAGCGAUAUGCCAAGCAAUAGAAUUUUGGUGUCAUCACACAAAGGACGAAGAGAGAGACAAAUGAGAGUAUGAAGUAUUUGACAAUUGGAUGUGCACGUGGUAACAAGUACCAUCCUAGCCACACUAAUAUCUCAAGGCCACGACCAACAAUUAAAAUGGAUUGUAAGGCGAAGGUAAAUGCUCACUUGGUGAAGGGUGUAUGGGUUUUGACCACUAUUGAGAUAGCUUAUAAUCAUAGUACUGUCAACCCACAAAAAUCUAGAUUUUUAGAUCUCACAAGUGCUUAGAUAAAUACAAUAAAAAAGAUGCUCGAUUUGAAUGACAGAGUAGGUAUUCAAAUGAAUAAGAAUUUUGGCACACUUGUUGUUGAUGCAGGGGGUUUCGAGAAUCUUGAAUUUCAAGAGAAAUAUUAUCAAAAUUUUAUUGACAAAGUGAGACAUUUAAGGCUUGGUAAAGGAGGUGGAGAAGAAGUACUUAGUGACUACUUUGAGAGGAUGAGGAAGAUGAAUGAUGCUUUUGUUUAUGUAAUAGAUGUGGAUGACGAGUUAAGACCCAGAAAUGUGUUCUGGGCUGACGCACGAACUCGAGUGGCGUAUGACUGUUUCAGAGAUGUUAUCACCUUCAAUAUGACAUACCUAACAAAUAGAUACAAUAUGUCUUUUGUUCCAUUUGUUAGGAGUAAACCAUCAUGGGCAGUACAUACUGUUAGGGGCUAGCUUGAUUUCAAGCGAUGACACAAGUACUUUUGUGUGGUUGUUCCAAACAUGGUUGCAAUGCAUGAAUGGUCGGGCUCCAAAAGUAAUCAUAACAGACCAAGACCGAGCAAUAAAGGGUGCUAUUGCAUUGGUAUUCCCAGACAGUCGCCAUAGAUAUUGUCUUUGGGUUGAAGACUUCUCUAGAAAUUAGGAUCUCACUCCCAAUUCAAUGCGGGGUGAAGACUUCCAUUCAGAGUGCCCUAUAUGAUUCACAGACUUGCACAUAAUUUGAGGACAAGGGGGGAAACUAAUUUAGAAGUAUGACCUUAGGUGAUAAUGCAUGGCUGCAAGGGUUUUAUAACGAGAGGUCGUUUUGGGUACCAGUUUACUUGAAGAGUGUAUUUUGGGCUGGUAUGAGCACUACGUAGCGGUUUGAAAGCAUGAAUGGUUUCUUCGAUGACUUUGUACAUUCUGGUACGACAUUGAAAGAAUUUAUCGAUUAAUUUAACAAUACUCUGAGGAAGAAGGUGGGGGUCGAGACGACAACUGAUUUCAAUUCUUGCAACUAAACCAUCCUAUGUGUAUCCCCAUUCAACAUUGAAAAGCAGUUUCAAGCGUUGUAUACAAAUGUAAAGUUUAAAGAGGUCAAAAGAGAGGUGUGGAGGAUGAUUUUAUGUAAUUGCGUACUUAUCAACAACAUGAUUGCAUUUCCACUUUCGAUGUUUGGAUGAAAUUUUCACUGAUCAUGACCAUAUCAAAAUCGUCUAGUACUCAGUUUACUAUAACGAGGAGGAAUGUGAAAUUAAAUGGACGUGUGCAUUAUUUAAGAUGAAGGGGAUUCUCUGUAGGCAUGCAUUUAAAGUUUUUCAGAUGAAGAACAUUCAUGUGUUUCCAGAGAAGUACAUCUUGGAUCGAUGGAUGAAGGACUUAAAUAGGAGAUACACACUCGUCAAAAUUAGCUAUGAUAACUUGCGACACAAUGCAGAUGCAUAGAGGUAUGAGGUUGUGGUGAAAAGAUAUCUGAAAUUAGAGACCUGUGUAUCCCCAAGUGAUGAUGAUGUCAAUGCAUUCCUUUGCCUUUUGGAUGAGUCUGAGCAUAAAUUUAAUGGAUUAAACUUGAGUCCCAUUGUUAAAGAGAACGUGGUCGUGGACAAGGAUAAGAAAAUAUUAAGCCUUCACGUUGUCUGAGGGAAAGAAAGGCCCCCAAUGAAAAGAAAGGUUCCAACUGUGAAGAGGGCUACA